ensembl:lncRNA
AUGGGAACACUACCAACUGAGAUUAGACGGCUUUUGGAUGACUGUGAGCUGUUUGUAUCAGAGGUCCUUCAAGACGAGGUGCUCGGGGGAAAGGCCCAAGAGACACGAAACGUCUUACUGAACAACUUCAGGAUUGUCCAUAUCAAACACCCUAAUGAAUUCCCCUUCCCCCCCAUGUAAGUCA